UACGUAGGGAGCAAGCGUUGUCCGGAAUCAUUGGGCGUAAAGCGCGCGUAGGUGGCUUCAUAAGUCCGUUGUGAAAGUCAAAGGCUCAACCUUUGAAAGCCGAUGGAUACUGUGAAGCUAGAGUACGGAAGAGGCGAGUGGAAUUCCUGGUGUAGCGGUGGAAUGCGCAGAUAUCAGGAGGAACACCAAUAGCUAAGGCAGCUCGCUGGGACGUUACUGACACUGAGGCGCGAAAGCGUGGGGAGCGAACAGG
rnacentral:rRNA from 1 species